AUACCUUGCAGGGGCAAUACCAUGGUCAUGAAAUUAGUUUUUCCAAGGUAAGGCUCAUCCAUUGCACUUUGGGUGUGCUAAUCCCUAUGAUUUCCCCAAAUGUGAGGAACUCAUAAUUUGUGCUAAUAGGGGAUUGCAUUUGUGAUUUCCCUGG
rnacentral:snRNA from 1 species